UGGUGUUAUUACUCAAUCAGGACAGUGCCAGCAGGAUCCAGUGGGAAGAUUAGUCUCCACCCUCACCCAGCAUCAAGGAGAAUGAACCAGGUACAUUGUCCUACAGCAGUGAUCUUUAAACUCGAGCAUGCUUGACAGAACACGGAUUAUGAAGCCCACCCCAGAGUAUCUGGAAGCUGAAGGGCAGUGUGGACCAGUGUCCUCAGAUUGUUUGGGCAAGUUGCUUCACCUCCCUGAACUUCAAUUUCAACACCACUUAAAUGAUACUAACAAUGCCUUCCUGCUAGUACUGAGGACUGAAUGAAUCAGAAUUAAAAGGGUGAGGCACUGCUCCUCCUAGCCAAGAAUCAUGCAUCAGAACCCUUCUUUCUUCUACAUCCUCUGGGACUUCAUUCUAUCAAUUUACUCUCCUUUUUUUUUGUCUUCAGCCUCCAUCUUUUUGUGAUG